CGGCACUGUUGCUAAAACAAGGUUCGCGCUUGCUGCUGAUCAAUUGAGUGGGGUAGCUAGUCGCACAAGGGUGGUCCGCCACUGUGUGUAGCGAAAGUGAUUCGAGACGCAGAAAAUUAAUACUAAUCCAGGCGGCGUGCCCCGGAAGUGACUUCGGAAAAGCAAAAAUUCAAUAACAACCGAAAAAAGCCCCGACUGCGGGCGCGAGUCUACACGCAAGAAAUAGGCUCAAAGAAGCCCCUGUAUUCCCGGAGAAAUAUUAAAAGGUAGCAAAGCGUGGUACGGGUGGAAAAGAAUAAAGACUUCGGAAUGAAGCGAUCCCGAACGGGGGACUCGGGGGCGAUCCCGGGAAUUUCUUUCAAUGAGAAUUCCUGCCAGCCCGCAAGGUUUCCGUGAAAAAUGUGUUUCCCUAUUGGCACAACGGGGCUGUAUUUGUACGCGGGGAAUCAAUGCUAUAGCUGAAUUCGAAUCGAUCGAACUGCUUGUGUAAACCUUUUGUAUCAAUUGUGUGAAGUUAUACUUGGAAUUUCCGCACAAUUCGGCGCCUCCGCCCAGGCCUGAAUUGGAGCCCCAUUCAAUUGAAACAAUUUAAUUCCUUCAAACAAAAACACACAAUAACAUUGCACAAGACACACUAAAUUUCACUUCAAUCCCAUCCCAAACAGGCAUUAGUGAGAUCUGUGGUAGUAAGAGGUGCGGAGUUUGAGGAUAGUAUCUGCUGCAUGUGACAUCAAGUUUCGUCCCUCUUCCCUGUGAACGGGUUAGUAGUAGAGCGUUGCCGGAAAAAGCUGUAAGUUAUGCAUUCAAACGCCAUCCCAAAGAUGUCCCGUUCAAGGAUGUCACAUCCGGCGCUUUGUGUGGAAUAUCAAUGCGACUUCCUGAUUGAGUCGCGGAAAGGGGACUGACAACGGCGAUGAUGUGUUACGGAACGUGAAGUUAGCGGAAGCGUUUCUCGUAAAGUUCCAUGCCAUGGCGAUGGCAUCCCGGUUCGCAUGUCCAGUUCGGUGCGCAGUAGACGCGGCUCUACCAAGAUACUGCGAGCUGAAACAGUCUCUAGCGAUAACCUUCCAACGGACCCAAAUCUCUUCGAAUGUUCUCCGUCGUGGUACGGUGGUUCCUCUCUCCGCAAGGAACCUUUCACUGUAUAUCAUCCGGGCAAGUUACCAAAGUUACCUCGGUACCCUUGCCGGUUGCUGAUAUGAAUAUUUAUCACAACGACUUUCAAAACUUUUAGGCUCGCCGUUUCCCAGCUCGUGCCAGCUCGGGGGGGGAGUGAAAACUUUCCCAGGAAAACUGGUGCAGAAAGGAACAAACCCUUUCAACGAUGCUGGUGGAGGGCGCUGGGGAUUUCUGAAGGUUAUGUUCUAUAGAAAACCGGCAACCCCAAAGUAGGAAGACUUACGGAAGAUUGUUUUGUCUUAAAAUUCGUGUUAUGUCAUUCGAGAAGGGUUUGAAGAAAACGACAUUAAAGUGUUCAUAGAGUGUAUCCUGA